CAGAAAUGCGGGUCUCGUGGUUUUCUGGAAGCACGUGGAAGCCGUGGAUGCUAGCAGUUUGCGAAAAGGAACGGAAGGUUUUGUGCAUGGGAGGUGGACAGGUUAUCCCGCAUCUUGAAAAGUGGGUUGCCAUUUAUGACAAGCAAGUCCUACCCCUUUUCAUCUUCGAAACCGUUAGAUUUCUAAACGGAAUCCCGAGGCCUUCACCAAAAUGGUAAAAAACUGUGAGCGUGGUAGAAGAAUGUUCCGUGGCAACUCUAGAGAAGAUAGCGCUGGAGAAGGAGGUAACGCGGAGGAACGCCACGUGCGAGGAUUCAUCGAAUCACAGGCGACCGGGGUCGCCCACUAUAAUGCCGAUGAUGUUCAGCUGGGAUGAUUACUAUUGAUUAGAUGAAGCCAGCGAUAUACGAUGAAGGACAGACCUCGGACUCAACAUGAGACCUUAGAAUGAACUACAAAUACUGAAAAUGUUUAACGAUAGUAACGAAUGUGAUAUUGACGAAUGCUCGAAGAUAAUUAGCAGAUCAUGAUAAUAUUUAAUAAAUUAUUUAUGUGAAAGAUGUUCGAAUUCAGUAGAUCAGAGCGAAACUUUCUUAUACGUUAUUACUGAUGGUGAGGUAAAAGCAGCCGUACAAACAUCAUGUGUACACAACAUGAAUCCUAGCGAGUACUUCAGUCCAUGAACAACGUUGGGGAAUUGGUCAAUUGAGGCGUGUGAUGUUAUCUAAGAGAUGUAGAUCUAGUAUACUACAUUUUUAAACGAUCAUGUGUCUUUGUUAUUGCUAUUAUUAUUAUUAUUGUUAUUAUUUAAAAAACUUAUAAUUGGAAUUGUCUGGGACGUCUUCACGGGCGCCAUCUUAAAUUAAU